rnacentral:rRNA from 12 species
GUGGGUAGUUUGACUGGGGCGGUCUCCUCCUAAAGAGUAACGGAGGAGCACGAAGGUUGGCUAAUCCUGGUCGGACAUCAGGAGGUUAGUGCAAUGGCAUAAGCCAGCUUGACUGCGAGCGUGACGGCGCGAGCAGGUGCGAAAGCAGGUCAUAGUGAUCCGGUGGUUCUGAAUGGAAGGGCCAUCGCUCAACGGAUAAAAGGUACUCCGGGGAUAACAGGCUGAUACCGCCCAAGAGUUCAUAUCGACGGCGGUGUUUGGCACCUCGAUGUCGGCUCAUCACAUCCUGGGGCUGAAGUAGGUCCCAAGGGUAUGGCUGUUCGCCAUUUAAAGUGGUACGCGAGCUGGGUUUAGAACGUCGUGAGACAGUUCGGUCCCUAUCUGCCGUGGGCGCUGGAGAACUGAGGGGGGCUGCUCCUAGUACGAGAGGACCGGAGUGGACGCAUCACUGGUGUUCGGGUUGUCAUGCCAAUGGCACUGCCCGGUAGCUAAAUGCGGAAGAGAUAAGUGCUGAAAGCAUCUAAGCACGAAACUUGCCCCGAGAUGAGUUCUCCCUGAGACUUUAGGUCUCCUGAAGGAACGUUGAAGACGACGACGUUGAUAGGCCGGGUGUGUAAGCGCAGCGAUGCGUUGAGCUAACCGGUACUAAUGAACCGUGAGGCUUAACCUUACA